AGGAGGAACAACCACAGUGGCGGCGGCCAGCUCUGGAGCCCUGGAUUCAGCUCCCACAGUACCUCCGGAGCUCUCAGUGUGCAGGGGCCUGGAUGUUCCAGGGGCGG
rnacentral:pre_miRNA from 1 species